UCUAGGAUAAUGCUUUUGCACACAUAUAUUUCCUUCCUUUUAAAAUCCAUUAUUCUAUCAUCUAUUUUCAAUUUCGCAACUAUCCUUUCAUACGUUUCAAAUUAAAAGAAAUCAUCGAUCUCUGUAUUUUGGUAUUGUUAUCCUUGCCAAAAUCAAAUUUCAAAAUUAUUUAUAAAGACAAUUUCAUCCUUAUGUUAUUGUUACUUCUGGUGUUCAAUUUGUUAUCAAAGAGUCUUCAAACCUUUACUCUACAUCAGAACCGAAUGCGCCACAUCUACAUAAGAGGACGAGAACUUUUUUACUUUAUGGGGACGGUAGUCUGACGAAAUUGGUGCAUAUGUUUCUAAGCACCCGAGCAAUUUUGUAUCGCUUAUUUAACUGGCUAAGUUGAAUCUUAUCUGAUGUACGUAUUUAGUAAAUUAUUAAUUUGUAA